UAAAGAGCUCGUAGGUGGUUUGUCGCGUCGUCUGUGAAAUUCCGGGGCUUAACUCCGGGCGUGCAGGCGAUACGGGCUGACUUGAGUGCUGUAGGGGAGACUGGAAUUCCUGGUGUAGCGGUGAAAUGCGCAGAUAUCAGGAGGAACCCCCGAUGGCGAAGGCAGGUCUCUGGGCAGUUACUGACGCUGAGGAGCGAAAGCAUGGGUAGCGAACAGGAUUAGAUACCCUGGUAGUCCAUGCCGUAAACGGUGGGCGCUAGGUGUGAGUCCCUUCCACGGGGUUCGUGCCGUAGCUAACGCAUUAAGCGCCCCGCCUGGGGAGUACGGCCGCAAGGCUAAAACUCAAAGGAAUUGACGGGGGCCCGCACAAGCGGCGGAGCAUGUGGAUUAAUUCGAUGCAACGCGAAGAACCUUACCUGGGCUUGACAUAUACAGGAUUGCUGCAGAGAUGUAGUUUCCCUUGUGGCUUGUAUACAGGUGGUGCAUGGUUGUCGUCAGCUCGUGUCGUGAGAUGUUGGGUUAAGUCCCGCAACGAGCGCAACCCUUGUCUUAUGUUGCCAGCACGUUAUGGUGGGGACUCAUGAGAGACUGCCGGGGUCAACUCGGAGGAAGGUGGGGAUGACGUCAAAUCAUCAUGCCCCUUAUGUCCAGGGCUUCACACGUGCUACAAUGGUCGGUACAAUGCGCAGCGACACUGUGAGGUGGAGCGAAUCGCUGAAAGCCGGUCUUAGUUCGGAUUGGGGUCUGCAACUCG
rnacentral:rRNA from 1 species